CGCACAAGCGGUGGAGCAUGUGGUUUAAUUCGAAGCAACGCGAAGAACCUUACCAAGCCUUGACAUCCCGGUGACGGAUGGGUAAUGCCAUCUUCCCUUCGGGGCAGCGGAGACAGGUGGUGCAUGGUUGUCGUCAGCUCGUGUCGUGAGAUGUUGGGUUAAGUCCCGCAACGAGCGCAACCCUUAUCCUUAGUAGCCAGCGGGUAAAGCCGGGCACUCUAGGGAGACUGCCAGGGACAACCUGGAGGAAGGCGGGGAUGACGUCAAAUCAUCAUGCCCCUUAUGGCUUGGGCUACACACGUGCUACAAUGGCGUAAACAAAGGGAAGCGAGCCUGUGAAGGUAAGCGAAUCCCAAAAAUAACGUCCCAGUUCGGAUUGUAGUCUGCAACUCGACUGCAUGAAGCUGGAAUCGCUAGUAAUCGCGAAUCAGAAUGUCGCGGUGAAUACGUUCCCGGGUCUUGUACACACCGCCCGUCACACCAUGGGAGUCGGGAAUGCCCGAAGCCGGUGACCUAACCGCAAGGAAGGAGCCGUCGAAGGCAGGCCUGGUAACUGGGGUGAAGUCGUAACAAGGUAACCGU
rnacentral:rRNA from 1 species